rnacentral:tRNA from 1 species
GGGCCUAUGGUUCAGUGGUAGAACAUCGCAUUCGCAUUGCGGAAACAGCGGUUCGAUUCCGCUUAGGUCCACCA